rnacentral:rRNA from 1 species
GUACACGGUGGAUGCCCUGGCAGUCAGAGGCGAUGAAGGGCGUGCUAAUCUGCGAUAAGCGCCGGUAAGGUGAUAUGAACCGUUAUAACCGGCGAUACCCGAAUGGGGAAACCCAGUGUGACUCGUCACACUAUCAUUAACUGAAUCCAUAGGUUAAUGAGGCGAACCGGGGGAACUGAAACAUCUAAGUACCCCGAGGAAAAGAAAUCAACCGAGAUUCCCCCAGUAGCGGCGAGCGAACGGGGAGGAGCCCAGAGCCUGAAUCAGCAUGUGUGUUAGUGGAAGCGUCUGGAAAGGCGCGCGAUACAGGGUGACAGCCCCGUACACAAAAGCGCAUGUGCUGUGAGCUCGAUGAGUAGGGCGGGACACGUGGUAUCCUGUCUGAAUAUGGGGGGACCAUCCUCCAAGGCUAAAUACUCCUGACUGACCGAUAGUGAACCAGUACCGUGAGGGAAAGGCGAAAAGAACCCCGGCGAGGGGAGUGAAAAAGAACCUGAAACCGUGUACGUACAAGCAGUGGGAGCACCCUUUGGGUGUGACUGCGUACCUUUUGUAUAAUGGGUCAGCGACUUAUAUUCUGUAGCAAGGUUAACCGAAUAGGGGAGCCGGAGGGAAACCGAGUCUUAAUUGGGCGUUAAGUUGCAGGGUAUAGACCCGAAACCCGGUGAUCUAGCCAUGGGCAGGUUGAAGGUUGGGUAACACUAACUGGAGGACCGAACCGACUAAUGUUGAAAAAUUAGCGGAUGACCUGUGGCUGGGGGUGAAAGGCCAAUCAAACCGGGAGAUAGCUGGUUCUCCCCGAAAGCUAUUUAGGUAGCGCCUCGUGAAUUCAUCUCCGGGGGUAGAGCACUGUUUCGGCUAGGGGGCCAUCCCGGCUUACCAACCCGAUGCAAACUGCGAAUACCGGAGAAUGUUAUCACGGGAGACACACGGCGGGUGCUAACGUCCGUCGUGAAGAGGGAAACAACCCAGACCGCCAGCUAAGGUCCCAAAGUCAUGGUUAAGUGGGAAACGAUGUGGGAAGGCCCAGACAGCCAGGAUGUUGGCUUAGAAGCAGCCAUCAUUUAAAGAAAGCGUAAUAGCUCACUGGUCGAGUCGGCCUGCGCGGAAGAUGUAACGGGGCUAAACCAUGCACCGAAGCUGCGGCAGCGAACGUAUCACUUAAAGCGAUUCAGCGGGUUACGAUUGACGGAGCGAAGCGACGUCAAAGCGUAUACAAAGUCGAGUCGGUUUAAGGAUACGUUCGUUGGGUAGGGGAGCGUUCUGUAAGCCUG